rnacentral:rRNA from 1 species
UACGUAGGUGGCAAGCGUUGUCCGGAAUUAUUGGGCGUAAAGCGCGCGCAGGCGGCCUCUUAAGUCUGAUGUGAAAGCCCCCGGCUCAACCGGGGAGGGCCAUUGGAAACUGGGAGGCUUGAGUAUAGGAGAGAAGAGUGGAAUUCCACGUGUAGCGGUGAAAUGCGUAGAGAUGUGGAGGAACACCAGUGGCGAAGGCGCUCUUUGGCCUAUAACUGACGUGAGGCGCGAAGGCGUGGGGAGCAAACAG